rnacentral:pre_miRNA from 1 species
GGUGAAAUUGCUGGGUUAUAUGGUCAUCCCAUGUUUAACUUUUUGAGGAAACACUAAUAUGAUUUUCCAAAGUGGCUACACCAUUUUACAUUCCUAUCAGUAAU